AUUGAACGCUGGCGGCAGGCCUAACACAUGCAAGUCGAGCGGAUGACGGGAGCUUGCUCCUUGAUUCAGCGGCGGACGGGUGAGUAAUGCCUAGGAAUCUGCCUGGUAGUGGGGGACAACGGUUCGAAAGGAACGCUAAUACCGCAUACGUCCUACGGGAGAAAGCAGGGGACCUUCGGGCCUUGCGCUAUCAGAUGAGCCUAGGUCGGAUUAGCUAGUUGGUAGGGUAAUGGCUCACCAAGGCGACGAUCCGUAACUGGUCUGAGAGGAUGAUCAGUCACACUGGAACUGAGACACGGUCCAGACUCCUACGGGAGGCAGCAGUGGGGAAUAUUGGACAAUGGGCGAAAGCCUGAUCCAGCCAUGCCGCGUGUGUGAAGAAGGUCUUCGGAUUGUAAAGCACUUUAAGUUGGGAGGAAGGGCAGUAAGCUAAUACCUUGCUGUUUUGACGUUACCGACAGAAUAAGCACCGGCUAACUCUGUGCCAGCCGCCGCAGUAA
rnacentral:rRNA from 1 species